CCUACGGGAGGCAGCAGUGAGGAAUAUUGGUCAAUGGACGAGAGUCUGAACCAGCCAAGUAGCGUGAAGGAUGACUGCCCUAUGGGUUGUAAACUUCUUUUAUAUGGGAAUAAAACGUUCCACGUGUGGGAUUUUGUAUGUACCAUAUGAAUAAGGAUCGGCUAACUCCGUGCCAGCAGCCGCGGUAAUACGGAGGAUCCGAGCGUUAUCCGGAUUUAUUGGGUUUAAAGGGUGCGUAGGUGGAUUGUUAAGUCAGUUGUGAAAGUUUGGGGCUCAACCGUAAAAUUGCAGUUGAAACUGGCAGUCUAGAGUACAGUAGAGGUGGGCGGAAUGCGUGGUGUAGCGGUGAAAUGCUUAGAGAUCACGAAGAACUCCGAUUGCGAAGGCAGUUCACUGGACUGCAACUGACACUGAGGCUCGAAAGUGUGGGUAUCAAACAGGAUUAGAUACCCGUGUAGUC
rnacentral:rRNA from 1 species